AUAUAUAAAAUAAAAUAAUAAAUGUAUCAGUAACCUAUAAAUUAGAAUUUGAAGAGCUUAUAUUAAUUAUUUAAUAAACACAUGACAAAUGCUAAAAUGAUGAUGUGGCAAUUAUAUUGAGGAGACAAUUGACCAACUUUUGUAUAUAUAUAUAUACUAGAUAAGGCCCGCCUAUUUAGGCGGGUAUAAGAUACAAAAAUAAAUUUUUAUCGAUAGUAUUUGAAUAUUGUAUAGCAAUCUAUAUAUUUUUUUGA
rnacentral:sRNA from 1 species